rnacentral:misc_RNA from 1 species
AAAAUUAGUAAAAAAAAAAAGGGAAUCUUAUGGUAAUUUUGAAAUUAAAGUAGCUAUUGAAAAGAUACGAAUUUUAUUUUAUAUGUUUCUUGUUUACUAACAUAUCAUGAAUAAAAUUUUGGGAGUUAUAAUAAUUGGUGUUUAACUUUCAACUUGUUAUUUGUCUUGGUGCAUUCAUAGGCUUCUUGCACGUGAAGGAAUA